UACGAAGGGGGCUAGCGUUGUUCGGAAUCACUGGGCGUAAAGGGCGCGUAGGCGGUGCGGUAAGUCUGCGGUGAAAUCCCGCGGCUCAACCUCGGGUCUGCAGUCGAUACGGAGCAAACUAGAGUGUUGCGAGGGGAGACUGGUAAUUCCUGGUGUAGCGGUAGAAAUGCGCAGAUAUCAGGAGGAACACCGGUGGCGAAGGCGGGUCUCUGGGCCGAUACUGACGCUGAGGAGCGAAAGCUAGGGUAGCAAACGGG
rnacentral:rRNA from 1 species